AGAGUUUGAUCAUGGCUCAGAUUGAACGCUGGCGGAAUGCUUUACACAUGCAAGUCGAACGGCAGCACGGGAGCUUGCUCCUGGUGGCGAGUGGCGAACGGGUGAGUAAUAUAUCGGAACGUAUCCAAUAAUGGGGGACAACGAGUCGAAAGAUUCGCUAAUACCGCAUACGCCCUACGGGGGAAAGCUAGGGAUCGUAAGACCUGGCGUUAAUGGAGCGGCUGAUAUCUGAUUAGCUAGUUGGUGGGGUAAAGGCCUACCAAGGCUUUGAUCAGUAGCUGGUCUGAGAGGACGACCAGCCACACUGGAACUGAGACACGGUCCAGACUCCUACGGGAGGCAGCAGUGGGGAAUUUUGGACAAUGGGGGCAACCCUGAUCCAGCCAUUCCGCGUGAGUGAAGAAGGCCUUCGGGUUGUAAAGCUCUUUCGCAAGGGAAGAAAACUUAUCCUCUAACAUAGGGUGAGGCUGACGGUACCUUGAUAAGAAGCACCGGCUAACUACGUGCCAGCAGCCGCGGUAAUACGUAGGGUGCGAGCGUUAAUCGGAAUUACUGGGCGUAAAGCGUGCGCAGGCGGUUUUGAAAGUCAGAUGUGAAAUCCCCGGGCUCAACCUGGGAACUGCGUUUGAAACUCCAAGACUAGAGUAUGGCAGAGGGGGGUAGAAUUCCACGUGUAGCAGUGAAAUGCGUAGAGAUGUGGAGGAAUACCAAUGGCGAAGGCAGCCCCCUGGGUCAAUACUGACGCUCAUGCACGAAAGCGUGGGGAGCAAACAGGAUUAGAUACCCUGGUAGUCCACGCCCUAAACGAUGUCUACUAGUUGUUGGGAGAGUAAAAUCUCUUAGUAACGCAGCUAACGCGUGAAGUAGACCGCCUGGGGAGUACGGUCGCAAGAUUAAAACUCAAAGGAAUUGACGG
rnacentral:rRNA from 1 species